UUAGAGUUUGAUCCUGGCUCAGGAUGAACGCUGGCGGCGUGCCUAACACAUGCAAGUCGAACGGAGAUAUGUAACGGAAGUUUUCGGAUGGAAGAUGCGUAUCUUAGUGGCGGACGGGUGAGUAACGCGUGGGUAACCUGCCGUAUACAGGGGGAUAACACCUGGAAACAGGUGCUAAUACCGCAUAAGCGCCCGGUAUCGCAUGAUACCGAGUGAAAAGCCGAGACGGUAUACGAUGGACCCGCGUCUGAUUAGCUAGUUGGCGGGGUAACGGCCCACCAAGGCAGCGAUCAGUAGCCGGCCUGAGAGACUGAUCGGCCACAUUGGGACUGAGACACGGCCCAAACUCCUACGGGAGGCAGCAGUAGGGAAUCUUCCACAAUGGACGAAAGUCUGAUGGAGCAACGCCGCGUGAGUGAAGAAGGGUUUCGGCUCGUAAAGCUCUGUUGGUAGUGAAGAAAGAUAGAGGUAGUAACUGGCCUUUAUUUGACGGUAAUUACUUAGAAAGUCACGGCUAACUACGUGCCAGCAGCCGCGGUAAUACGUAGGUGGCAAGCGUUGUCCGGAUUUAUUGGGCGUAAAGCGAGUGCAGGCGGUUCAAUAAGUCUGAUGUGAAAGCCUUCGGCUCAACCGGAGAAUUGCAUCAGAAACUGUUGAACUUGAGUGCAGAAGAGGAGAGUGGAACUCCAUGUGUAGCGGUGGAAUGCGUAGAUAUAUGGAAGAACACCAGUGGCGAAGGCGGCUCUCUGGUCUGCAACUGACGCUGAGGCUCGAAAGCAUGGGUAGCGAACAGGAUUAGAUACCCUGGUAGUCCAUGCCGCAAACGAUGAGUGCUAAGUGUUGGGAGGUUUCCGCCUCUCAGUGCUGCAGCUAACGCAUUAAGCACUCCGCCUGGGGAGUACGACCGCAAGGUUGAAACUCAAAGGAAUUGACGGGGGCCCGCACAAGCGGUGGAGCAUGUGGUUUAAUUCGAAGCAACGCGAAGAACCUUACCAGGUCUUGACAUCUAGUGCCAUCCUAAGAGAUUAGGAGUUCCCUUCGGGGACACUAAGACAGGUGGUGCAUGGCUGUCGUCAGCUCGUGUCGUGAGAUGUUGGGUUAAGUCCCGCAACGAGCGCAACCCUUGUUAUUAGUUGCCAGCAUUAAGUUGGGCACUCUAAUGAGACUGCCGGUGACAAACCGGAGGAAGGUGGGGAUGACGUCAAGUCAUCAUGCCCCUUAUGACCUGGGCUACACACGUGCUACAAUGGGCAGUACAACGAGAAGCGAGCCUGCGAAGGCAAGCGGAUCUCUUAAAGCUGUUCUCAGUUCGGACUGCAGUCUGCAACUCGACUGCACGAAGCUGGAAUCGCUAGUAAUCGCGGAUCAGCACGCCGCGGUGAAUACGUUCCCGGGCCUUGCACUCACAGCCCGUCA
rnacentral:rRNA from 1 species